AAGGACUCGUACGGUCACUGAAUCCUGCCCAGUGCGGGUAUCUGAACACCCCUUACAAGGGGACGAAGGACCCGUUAACGGCGGGGGUAACUAUGACCCUCUUAAGGUAGCGUAGUACCUUGCCGCUUUAGUAGCGGCUUGCAUGAAUGGAUCAAUGAGAGCGCCACUGUCCCAACGUUGGGCCCGGUGAACUGUACGUUCCAGUGCGGAGUCUGGAGACCCCCAAGGGGAAGCGAAGACCCUAUAGAGCUUUACUGCAGGCUGUCACUGAGACGUGGUCGCCAUUGUGCAGCAUAGGUAGGAGCCNGACCCCCAAGGGGAAGCGAAGACCCUAUAGAGCUUUACUGCAGGCUGUCACUGAGACGUGGUCGCCAUUGUGCAGCAUAGGUAGGAGCCGUUACACAGGUACCCGCGCUAGCGGGCCACCGAGGCGUCAUUGAAAUACUACCCGAUGGUGACUGCGACUCUCACUCCUGGCGGAGGACACUGGUAGCCGGGCAGUUUGACUGGGGCGGUACGCGCU
rnacentral:ncRNA from 1 species